AGGAACAUCACGAUCCUGUCCAGAAGAGCAGAGCACCCAAUAAUGUUUUCCAGUGGAGCUGAUUUCCUGACCCCCCCUGUCAUCCCCGCUUGGCUCAUUAAAACGUCUCUUUGAGUGACGAUGGCCGACGAGAGACUGACGUGGCUGGCUGUUUUAUCUCUUGAAAAUGCCAUUGGCCAGGCUUUGGAUCUCUCUGACCCUGUGCUUCAGUUCACGAGGGCAAAGUUUGAAUCUCAUUUCCUGUCUGGACAUCAUGGCGAUCACAGCAGCACUGGCAACGAUGCAGAGCUCUCCAGCAGUGAUGGCCGUGCAGUCUGUGAAUAGAAAGAGGGCCCCAGCAUGGACUAAUCGGGAAGUCUUGGAUCUGAUUGCUGUGUGGGGCGAGGAGUCUGUGCUUUCCGAGCUGCGAUCCAAAAGACGGAAUGCAAAGAUCUACGAGAAGAUCUCUAAAGACAUGUCAGAGAGAGGAUACAGCCGGGAUGCAACGCAGUGCCGCGUGAAAAUCAAGGAGCUGAGACAAGGCUACCAGAAGACCAAAGAGGCAAACGGACGCUCCGGAUCCCAUCCCCAGACAUCCCGUUUCUACGAGGCACUGCAUUCCAUCCUCGGUGCGGCCGCCACCACUACCCCACCACUGACCGUGGACUCUGAGGAUGGGAUAGUGUCCACGGCCGGUUCCUCGGACAUGUUAGGGGACGGGGAAGAUGAGGAAGGAUAUGAGGAGGGCGAGGCAGUCGGCAGCGCUCACAACGCUGAUUUCCCCGACAGCCAGGAUCUCUUCAUCACCCUUACAGAGAUCCCCUACCAAGCGUCCCCAGCCGUUACCCCGGACACAGAAUCUGGGGAAGGAUCAUCCACUACAGUAAAAUGCGGUCUAUAUGUCCGGGGAUAGAGCAGUAAUCCUCCUGGGACAUCUCGAUGAAGCUCUCCUGGAGGUAAUUGGAAAGCCGUUGCAUGAGGUUCCUGGGGAGAGCGGCCUUAUUGGGUCCUCCGAAGUACGACACGUUGCCGCGCCACGAGACUAUCAAGUACUCGGGAAUCAUUGCUCUGCACAGCAGGGCGGCAUACGGCCCUGGUCUUUGGAGGCUUUCCCGGAGCAUUCUCUCUCUCUCGCUCUCAAAGAUCCUCAUCAGGGUGAGGUCGCCCAUGGUGACCUGCUUUGAAUUAGCCCCAUCUGCGACUGUCUCACAACCUAGCCUGGCAUCACACUCCCAGAGGCUAGCGCAGAUUAGGCAUAGGAAGAAGAGGACACGGGAGGACAUGUUCUCGGAGCUUAUGGCCUGUUCCCAAGCCCAGGCAGCACAGCAGACCCAGUGGCGGGAGAACUUGACCCAAAUGCACCAAGCAAACAUGGAUCGGGAGGAGAGGUGGCGGCAGGAAGACCAGCAGGCGACUCAAACGCUGCUUGGACUACUGAGGGAGCAAACAGACAUGCUCCGGCGCCUUGUGGAUGUUCUGCAGGAACGGAGGCAGGAGGACAGAGCCCCGCUGCAGUCCAUCUCUAACCGCCCUCCCCCGCCACCAAGUCCCAUACCCACCUCACCCAAAGUGCAAAGAAGGAGAGGCGGCAGAGUCCGUGCUAACUCUCACUCCACCCCUGCAGAGAGCUCGAGUAGCAGAAGGCUCUCAUUCCCCAAAAUUUGAAAAGUUCUUUCCUUCCCACCUGACACAAGCCCCCGUCCAAGUUUCACCUCCCAGUUCCAUGUGUAGUUGAUAAUAAAAAAUACGUUUCUGUUAA